rnacentral:rRNA from 1 species
GGACGGGUGAGUAACGCGUGGGUAACCUACCCCAAAGUCCGGGAUAACAGCGGGAAACCGCUGCUAAUACCGGAUGCCUUUACCUUGGGGCAUCUUGAGGUAAAGAAAGGUAACGCUUUGGGAUGGGCCCGCGUCCCAUUAGCUAGUUGGUGAGGUAACGGCUCACCAAGGCGACGAUGGGUAGCCGGCCUGAGAGGGUGGACGGCCACACUGGGACUGAGACACGGCCCAGACUCCUACGGGAGGCAGCAGUAGGGAAUAUUGCGCAAUGGACGGAAGUCUGACGCAGCGACGCCGCGUGAGCGAUGAAGGUCUUCGGAUCGUAAAGCUCUGUCCUUGGGGAAGAAGGCGAAAGCUUGACGGUACCCAAGAAGAAAGCCCCGGCUAACUACGUGCCAGCAGCCGCGGUAAUACGUAGGGGGCGAGCGUUGUCCGGAAUUACUGGGCGUAAAG